rnacentral:rRNA from 1 species
GACGAACGCUGGCGGCGUGCUUAACACAUGCAAGUCGAACGAAGUGGCGAACGGGUGAGUAACGCGUAAUCAACCUGCCCUUCAGAGGGGGACAACAGUUGGAAACGACUGCUAAUACCGCAUGCUGAAGGUGGGGGUUGCGUCGGAUUAGGUGGUUGGAGGGGUAACGGGCCACCAAGGCGAUGAUCACUAGCCGGUCUGAGAGGGUGAACGGCCACAUUGGGAAUGAGACACGGCCCAGACUCCUACGGGAGGCAGCAGUGGGGAAUCUUCCGCAAUGGACGAAAGGCUGACGGAGCAACGCCGGGUGAGUGAUGACGGCCUUCGGGUUGUAAAGCUCUGUUAAGCGGGACGCGGUACCGGAAUAGAAAGCCACGGCUAACUACGUGCCAGCAGCCGCGGUAAUUC